rnacentral:rRNA from 1 species
AUUGAACGCUGGCGGCAGGCCUAACACAUGCAAGUCGAACGAGUGGCGGACGGGUGAGUAAUGUCUGGGAACCUGCCUGCUGGAGGGGGAUAACUACUGGAAACGGUAGCUAAUACCGCAUACCCUCAGAUGUUCCCAGAUGGGAUUAGCUAGUAGGUGGGGUAACGGCUCACCUAGGCGACGAUCCCUAGCUGGUCUGAGAGGAUGACCAGCCAAACGGGAACGGAGAAACGGUCCAGACUCCGACGGGAGGCAGCAGGGGGGAAUAUUGCACAAUGGGCGCAAGCCUGAUGCAGCCAUGCCGCGUGGAUGAAGAAGGCCUUCGGGUUGUAAAGUACUUUCAGCGGGGAGGCGUUACCCGCAGAAGAAGCACCGGCUAACUCCGUGCCAGCAGCCGCGGUAAUAC